GAUGAACGCUAGCUACAGGCUUAACACAUGCAAGUCGAGGGGAAACGACAUUGAAGCUUGCUUCGAUGGUCGUCGACCGGCGCACGGGUGAGUAACGCGUAUCCAACCUGCCUCUGACCAAGGGAUAACCCGUCGAAAGUCGGCCUAAUACCUUAUGCAGUCGUCGGAAGUCAUCUGAUGACGACGAAAGAUUUCAUCGGUGAGAGAUGGGGAUGCGUCUGAUUAGCUUGUUGGCGGGGUAACGGCCCACCAAGGCAACGAUCAGUAGGGGUUCUGAGAGGAAGGUCCCCCACAUUGGAACUGAGACACGGUCCAAACUCCUACGGGAGGCAGCAGUGAGGAAUAUUGGUCAAUGGGCGAGAGCCUGAACCAGCCAAGUAGCGUGCAGGAUGACGGCCCUAUGGGUUGUAAACUGCUUUUAUGCGGGGAUAACGUGAGGGACGUGUCCUUCAUUGCAGGUACCGCAUGAAUAAGGACCGGCUAAUUCCGUG
rnacentral:rRNA from 1 species